rnacentral:lncRNA from 1 species
GAUACAAAAUUUGGCAAAAUACUGUGUCGAUUACAUUUUUACAUCUUCGAUUUGUUCCGUAAAACCAACCACGGUAUGAAAUAAAGACGAAUCUAGGAAUAAAGGGAUGGUAAAUAAGGACUUUCAUAUGCUGCCCAUACUGUCAGAUAUGAGAAAACAUGUACGAAACGGAGAUAUGACAACAGCAAGAUAAAUCACAGUUGCCGUCCACAAAGGACAGAAUCUGAUGCCUGAUUCUAAAGUGGGAUUGUGCCACUAACCAGAGGGCUUUAGAAAGAGUUUCUUAUCAGUCUGAGUCAGGAAUUGGCCAUGUAGAGGAUUUUGAUACCAUAACAACCUCAGACCUUCAGAACUGUCAGACAUUAGGCACAAGACCACAGUUAUUUGCCCUUGGUUGACCACAAUACAGAAGUGGUUAUGCAGAAAAUAUUUCCUCUGUUUGAUGGUGAAUAUUGGUGAAUUUUUGAGUGAAAGACCUGCAAUAAAUUGCAUGAUUUAAUAGAGGAGAUAUGAAAUAGCAGGUACAUGUACAAUUUGACAGAAUGAGAAU